CAUUAGCUCCCCAUUGCUCCCUGAUGUCUUCGUUCUCGCCUCUCUCUAUCCCUCUAUUGACACUACCACUUCAGAUUCAGAAAUUACGAUAAGAAAAUUAGAAAAUCCAAAGAUCGAAUAUCAAAACUCGAAAUCAAACUCAAAAACUCUCAUCAUUACCCUAAUUUUGAUAACCUAAAAUCCUCUAGGUUGGCUAUAAGAAAUCUCCAAAUCUUUUCACAAUCGUCGUUUUACUAAUUAUUCAUCAUCAUUUCGAUAACCACCGCGAAGAAUUAGGGUAUGUAGGUUCAAUCUUUCAAUAUAUUUACCACAGUGAAGCAAUUGAAGCAAAUUCAACAAGCCGAAAGAGAGAAUACAAUCAUAGGGCAGUUUUGGAGAACAAGCAAGCAAUGGUCGUUCAAAGGAAACCAGCUAGCAAAAAGUACUAAAAUCUCUUCGUAUUUUCUUAUUUUCAUUUUGAUUCAUCAUUAAAAACCCUAUUAUAUUCUAGAUUUAUAUAAUGUGAAGUUGUAUUUCGAAUCUCUACUAGAUUUAUACAACAUGAAACUGAAUUUGCAUCUUGAUUUUCAUAUACAGAUGUGUGAAUAUCUCAUGCACAUGAAAUUUUUCUAUGAUUAGUCCACAUUAGCUAAAUGAUGUGGACUCAACAUAUUGCCUGCACAUGGUUUUGUAGUUAAUGUUAAAAAAUGAAAAAGUUAUUCAGUUCCCCUGCACAUACCUUAAAAAUGUUGUCUGUUUAAUUGUUAGUUAACAAUGUUAAAUAUUCUUUUUUCCUUGGAGGCGGUGGUGCAAAAUCAAUAUAGAUACUUAGGAUUGAAAAGUUGGACUACAAAACUUGAUAGUUGAACUAAUGAAAAAAAGUGAUCAAAGUAACAAUAUGUGUUUGUGGAUAUAUCCUACACAGAAUGAUGUUUCGAGUUCGUUUUAUUAGUUAGUAAGUCGAAACAUGCAUCUAUAUGUGUUUCUAUUCGUUUGUCUUAUUUCCUGUAAUAUGACUCAUGGUGUUAUGUUUUUCGAGGAAUUUAUACAUCCUUGAAAGUUGUCUUGCCCAAAUUCGAGCACGUAGAGAGUACAAAAAAUGUACUUACCCUGGUCUUAAAGGAUUAGCAUUAAACAUUGGUCUGCUCAUGUAUUGAAUGUCUACACGCGUGGCCUUGCAAUUAACUUGUUGCCUAUUCGGAACGUAAUGGAUAUGGAUACUGGUUAUGGAAGAUAAGUCACUUAUGAUAUCCAGAAGGGUUGCUUCAUCACAGAACACCUUAUCUAUUACGCUAUCCAACAUUCAAAAAGCUCUUAAAAGCAGUAUUGGACGACAGGGAAAAGCUCGCUAUGUCGUACUGAUAGGUACUGGUGGUAAUGGUUGUUCUUUGUUGAUGUCUUUCAAAGAAUAUUGCAUUUGUUCCCUCGAAUUAUGGUGUUUUGACGAGGUUAAUAUGUCUCUCUUUACUUAUUCGAAGGAUUUAGAAUCCCCGUAGUGAUCUUGCAUAUGUUCUAAUUUGCUAGAUCUCACUUCCUAUAGGUGAAACCUGUUAGAGAUUCAGUAUCUCAAGCGUUGCAUGACUGGAAAAAUCCUUCAAGGUUUUUUUGUGUGCAGAUAUUUUUUUUCAAAGAGAUCUUUUUUGCUGAGAUUUAUCAUAUGUGAAUAUGAGUGCAGGUAUUAUCCACACUGAAAUUUGUGUGCAGAUAUUAUGUACAGUGUUUUUAUACAUAAAUUUAUUUGGAUGUUUUCUACAAAGACUUUUUUUUCCCUUUGGAAUCAAGAUGCCAAAGAAGAUAAUGAUUCUGUGUACAAGUUUCCUACAACAACCGAUCUUGAAGAAAGAUGGAUUUUUAGUUUCAGAAACUUGUACGCACAUAUGAGCAGGUAGUAUCUACACUCUCGUUUUUGUGUGCAGGUAUUAUCCACACUAAUAUACGUUUUUGUGUGCAGGCAUGAUCCACACUAACAUUUUUGUGUGCAGGUAUUAUGUACAGUCUUUUUAUAGAUUUUAGGUGGGUUCCGUUUGUGCAUGCUUACCAUUGGCAUUUGGAUAGAAACAUGAAAAGUGCACCUUUAAUGAUUUGAAUAGUUCAAUUCACUUACAAAUUCAUAUAUCAAUCAGAAACGGAGAGUUUACAAGUAUGACAUAACAUACUAAAAUUUGUGUGCAAAUAUUAUGUAUAGUGUUUUUAUACAUAAAUUUAUUUGGAUGUUUUCUACAGAGACUUUCUUUUUUCCUUUGGAAUCAAGAUGCCAAAGAAGAUAAUGAUUUUGUGUACAAGUUUUCGACAGCAACCGAUCUUGAAGAAAGAUGGAUUUUUAGUUUCAGAAAUUUGUAUGUACAUAUGAGCAGGUAGUAUCUACACUCUCGUUUUUGUGUGCAGGUAUUAUCCACACUAAUAAACGUUUUUGUGUGCAGGUAUGAUCCAUACUAACAUUUUUGUGUGCAGGUAUUAUGUACAGUCUUUUUAUAGAUUUUAGGUGGGUUCUGUUUGUGCAUGCUUACCAUUGGCAUUUGGAUAGAAACAUGAAAGUGCACCUUUAAUGAUUUGAAUAGUUCAAUUCACUUACAAAUUCAUAUAUCAAUCAGAAACGGAGAGUUUACAAGUAUGACAUAACAUACUAAAAUUUGUGUGCAGAUAUUAUGUACAGUGUUUUUAUACAUAAAUUUAUUUGGAUGUUUUCUACAGAGACUUUCUUUUUGCCUUUGGAAUCAAGAUGCCAAAGAAGAUAAUGAUUUUGUAUACAAGUUUCCGACAGCAACCGAUCUUGAAGAAAGAUGGAUUUUUAGUUUCAGAAAUUUGUAUGUUCAUAUGAGCAGGUAGUAUCUACACUCUCGUUUUUGUGUGCAGUUCGAAUUUGAGUUGAGACAGGGUUCUACUAGGAGAAUUAGCGGAACAAGAAUAAAAAAACUAUUGGAAGAAGAGUUGAAAAAGUGAAUGGAUUCUGGACGACGUUCUCCCAAUGUCAUUGCACUGGUUAAGGACUAAUAAUAAAGAGAGACGGGACUCCAAGGAUAUCUAUGAAGUCUUUGAAACAUCGCAAGCAGUGAACAUGGAACUCAACAAGUCCCAAGAAAACAACAUCAAAUGUAAAUGAUGCUAAAAUGGAAUAUAGAAGGCAGAAGUUCGUGGAUGCCAAGCGCCUCUCUAUUGAUGAUGUAUUGAAUUAGAAUCAAGCAGUUGCUAAGGUCGAAGAUCCACCAUAGAAAUUCACCAUCCCAACAAGAUUUUAUCAUAAACUACUUUGUUGAUCUUCUUUUUCAUCACAGUCCUCUGUUUCCCAAAUAGAAUGUGUGAAUAUCUUCUACACAAUUUGAAUUUCUACAUAUUUUCUAAGCUGGAGAAAUUCUUCAUAUGUAGUUCUAUGACAACAAGAAUCCAUAGAGUUGUUAAUGUUUGAUAUAUGUGCAUAUUUUUCUGGCACUUGAGCAUGUUCAUAUUAUUAUUAUUUUUGGAAGAUUGAAUUUGUA